GACGAACGCUGGCGGCGUGCUUAACACAUGCAAGUCGAGCGGAGCGGCGAACGGGUGAGUAACGCGUGAGUAACUGCCCCCCUCUCUGGGAUAACAGUUGGAAACGGCUGCUAAUACCGGAUAGUGGGGGAUGACUCGGGUCCUAUCAGCUUGGUGGUGGGGUAGUGGCCUACCAAGGCGACGACGGGUAGCCGGCCUGAGAGGGGGACCGGCCACAGUGGGCUGAGAGAGGGCCCAAUCUCCUACGGUAGGCAGCAGUGGGGAAUAUGGUACAAGGGGGGAACCGCUGAGGCUGCGACGCCGCGUGCGGGAUGACGGCCUUCGGGUUGUAAACCGGUUUCAGCCAUGACGCGGUAGUGGCAGAAGAAGCACCGGCUAACUACGUGCCAGCAGCCGCGGUAAUAC
rnacentral:rRNA from 1 species